rnacentral:rRNA from 1 species
AUUGAACGCUGGCGGCGUGCCUAAUACAUGCAAGUCGAACGAGUGGCGGACGGGUGAGUCAUGUCUGGGCAACUGCCUGAUGGAGGGGGAUAACUACUGGAAACGGUAGCUAAUACCGCAUACCAUCGGAUGUGCACAGAUGGGCGUCGAUAGUAGGUGGGGUAAAAGCUCACAUAGGCGACGAUCCCUAGCUGGUCUGAGAGGAGGACCAGACACGCGGGUACGUAGACAAGGUCCAGACUCCUACGGGAGGCAGCAGUGGGGAAUAUUGCACAAUGGGCGGAAGCCUGAUGCAGCCAUGCCGCGUGUAUGAAGAAGGCCUUCGGGUUGUAAAGUACUUUCAGCUGGGAGGCGUUACCCGCAGAAGAAGCGCCUGCUAACUCCGUGCCAGCAGCCGCGGUAAUUC